GACGAACGCUGGCGGCGUGCUUAACACAUGCAAGUCGAGCGGAAAGGCCCUUCGGGGUACUCGAGCGGCGAACGGGUGAGUAACACGUGAGCAACCUACCCUUAGCUUUGGGAUAACCCUCGGAAACGGGGGCUAAUACCGAAUAUUCACUGUUGAUCGCAUGGUUGGUGGUGAAAAGUUUUUCGGCUGGGGAUGGGCUCGCGGCCUAUCAGCUUGUUGGUGGGGUGAUGGCCUACCAAGGCGACGACGGGUAGCCGGCCUGAGAGGGCGACCGGCCACACUGGGACUGAGACACGGCCCAGACUCCUACGGGAGGCAGCAGUGGGGAAUAUUGCACAAUGGGCGGAAGCCUGAUGCAGCGACGCCGCGUGAGGGACGACGGCCUUCGGGUUGUAAACCUCUUUCAGCAGGGACGAAGCGCAAGUGACGGUACCUGCAGAAGAAGCGCCGGCCAACUACGUGCCAGCCGCCGCCGUAACAC
rnacentral:rRNA from 1 species